rnacentral:rRNA from 1 species
ACAUCGCCUUUUGCUUAAAAUAAAAGGUCCAGCCUGCCCAGUGACACUGUUCAACGGCCGCGGUAUCCUAACCGUGCGAAGGUAGCGUAAUCACUUGUUCUUUAAAUGAGGACUAGUAUGAAAGGCACCACGAGAGUCAUACUGUCUCCUCUUUCCAAUCAGUUAAACUAAUCUCCCCGUGAAGAAGCGGGGAUAACUAUAUAAGACGAGAAGACCCUAUGGAGCUUUAAACGAAUAACACUUGCCCACUUACUCCUUUAAAUUUCAGAAAAAUCUAUUACCUUGGCAUCAUACUUAUAAGUUUUUGAUUGGGGUGAUCACGGAACAAAAAAUAACCUCCGCAAUGAAAGACUCUCCAUAACUAAGUCAAGAACCACAACUCUACGCAUCAACAAAUUGACACCAAUUGACCCAAUUUAUUGAUCAAUGAACCAAGUUACCCUAGGGAUAACAGCGCAAUCCACUUCAAGAGCUCCUAUCGACAAGUGGGUUUACGACCUCGAUGUUGGAUCAGGGUAUCCUAAUGGUGCAGCCGCUAUUAAAGGUUCGUUUGUUCAACGAUUAAAACCCUACGUGAUCU